UACGGGGGGGGCAAGCGUUGUUCGGAAUUACUGGGCGUAAAGCGCGCGCAGGCGGUCUGCUGCGUCGUGGGUGACAGUUCCCGGCUUCACUGGGAAAGUGCCUGCGAAACGGGCAGACUUGAGGGCUUCAGAGGGACACGGAAUUCCGGGUGGAGUGGUGAAAUGCGUAGAGAUCCGGAGGAACACCAAAGGCGAAGGCAGUGUCCUGGGGAGUACCUGACGCUCAGGUGCGAAAGCCAGGGGAGCGAACGGG
rnacentral:rRNA from 1 species